AGUAAAAAGUCGUAACAAGGUUUCCGUAGGUGAACCUGCGGAAGGAUCAUUGUCGAAUCCUGCAUAGCAGUACCACUAGCGAACAAGUUAAUAAACGCAGGGGCCUAGUCAAGUGUGGGGGGAUUCCCUUGCAUUUGAUUUAGUCCCUGACGGUGCUCGGGCGAUUCGUCCCAGUGCCUAACAAACCAACCCCCGGCGCGAGAAGCGCCAAGGAAAACUUUAACAAGGGCUAGAUCCAUCCUCUCCCGUUCGCGGGGCCUAGGGGUUUGGGGAAGGCUUCUUUCGAAAUUGAAACGACUCUCGGCAACGGAUAUCUCGGCUCUCGCAUCGAUGAAGAACGUAGCGAAAUGCGAUACUUGGUGUGAAUUGCAGAAUCCCGUGAACCAUCGAGUCUUUGAACGCAAGUUGCGCCUGAAGCCAUUAGGCUAAGGGCACGUCUGCCUGGGCGUCACGCAUCGCGUCACCCCUCCUACAAUCUUGUGGGAUGGGGUGGAAUGUGACCUCCUGUUCCGAAAGGUGCAGUUGGUCGAAAUUUGAGUCCAGAUCUUAGGAUGUCACGACAAGUGGUGGUUGGAUAAUAACAACUCGCGUGUUGUCGUGUGCCGAACCUCCUGCGACUGAAAAGACCCUUCGGUGCAUGUUACCCUCCUCUCGGGGAGGGGAGCUUGUGCUACGACCGCGACCCCAGGUCAGGCGGGAUUACCCGCUGAAUUUAAGCAUAUCAA
rnacentral:rRNA from 1 species